rnacentral:rRNA from 1 species
GCAUUAAGUGUCCCGCCUGGGGUGUACGCUCGCAAGGGUGUUACUCAUUGGUUUGUACGGGGGCCCGCACAAGCGGUGGAGCAUGUGCUUUAAUUCGAUGCAACGCGUAGUACCUUACCUGGGUUUGACAUGGGGGUGAAAGUUUCCAGAGAUGGAAGCCUUUCCUUCGGGAACACCCCACACAGGUGCUGCAUGGUUGUCGUCAGCUCGUGUCGUGAGAUGUUGGGUUAAGUCCCGCAACGAGCGCUACCCCUGCCCUUAGUUGCCAUCAGGUAAAGCUGGGAACUCUAAGGGGACAGCUUGGUAUAACCAGGAGGAAGGUGGGGAUGACGUCAAAUCAUCAUGGCUCUUACGCCCAGGGCUAGACACGUGCUACAAUGGCAGGUACAGUGGGAUGCCAGCCUGCGAAGGUGAGCUAAUCCCUUAAAACCUGUCUCAGUCCGGAUUGGAGUCUGCAACUCGACUCCAUGAAGUUGGAAUCGCUAGUAAUCGCGGAUCAGCAUGCCGCGGUGAUACGUUCCCGGGCAUGUACACACCGCCCGUCAAGCCAUGAAAGGCGGUAGUACCCGAAGUCGCGUACCCAACCGUAAGGAGGAAGCGC